CCUACGGGAGGCAGCAGUGGGGAAUAUUGCACAAUGGGGGAAACCCUGAUGCAGCGACGCCGCGUGAGUGAGGAAGUAUUUCGGUAUGUAAAGCUCUAUCAGCAGGGAAGAAAAUGACGGUACCUGACUAAGAAUCCCCGGCUAACUACGUGCCAGCAGCCGCGGUAAUACGUAGGGGGCAAGCGUUAUCCAGAUUUACUGGGUGGAAAGGGGGCGUAGACGGUUAAUCAAGUCAGAAGUGAAAACCCAGGGCCCAACCUUGGGACUGCUUUUGAAACUGAGUAGCUAGAGUGCAGGAGAGGUAAGCGGAAUUCCUAGUGUAGCGGUGAAAUGCGUAGAUAUUAGGAGGAACACCAGUGGCGAAGGCGGCGUACUGGACUGUAACUGACGUUGAGGCUCGAAAGCGUGGGGAGCAAACAGGAUUAGAUACCCGAGUAGUC
rnacentral:rRNA from 1 species